rnacentral:tRNA from 1 species
UCUCUGGUAGUUUAAUAAGAACACGAGAUUGCAAAUCUUGGGGUAAGUGAAUUCUUCUGGAGAU